rnacentral:rRNA from 1 species
GAUGAGCGCUGGCGGCGUGCCUAAUUCAUGCAAGUCGAGCGAACAGACGAGGAGCUUGCUCCUCUGACGUUAGCGGCGGACGGGUGAGUAACACGUGGAUAACCUACCUAUAAGACUGGGAUAACUUCGGGAAACCGGAGCUAAUACCGGAUAAUAUAUUGAACCGCAUGGUUCAAUAGUGAAAGACGGUUUUGCUGUCACUUAUAGAUGGAUCCGCGCCGCAUUAGCUAGUUGGUAAGGUAACGGCUUACCAAGGCAACGAUGCGUAGCCGACCUGAGAGGGUGAUCGGCCACACUGGAACUGAGACACGGUCCAGACUCCUACGGGAGGCAGCAGUAGGGAAUCUUCCGCAAUGGGCGAAAGCUUGACGGAGCAACGCCGCGUGAGUGAUGAAGGUCUUCGGAUCGUAAAACUCUGUUAUUAGGGAAGAACAAAUGUGUAAGUAACUAUGCACGUCUUGACGGUACCUAAUCAGAAAGCCACGGCUAACUACGUG